GCCAGACUCCUACGGGAGGCAGCAGUGGGGAAUAUUGCACAAUGGGGGAAACCCUGAUGCAGCGACGCCGCGUGAGUGAAGAAGUAUUUCGGUAUGUAAAGCUCUAUCAGCAGGGAAGAAGCAAGACGGUACCUGACUAAGAAGCCCCGGCUAACUACGUGCCAGCAGCCGCGGUAAUACGUAGGGGGCAAGCGUUAUCCGGAUUUACUGGGUGUAAAGGGAGCGUAGACGGUAUGGCAAGUCUGAAGUGAAAGCCCAGGGCUUAACCCUGGGACUGCUUUGGAAACUGUGCAGCUAGAGUGCAGGAGAGGCAGGCGGAAUUCCUAGUGUAGCGGUGAAAUGCGUAGAUAUUAGGAGGAACACCGGUGGCGAAGGCGGCCUGCUGGACUGUAACUGACGUUGAGGCUCGAAAGCGUGGGGAGCAAACAGGAUUAGAUACCCGUGUA
rnacentral:rRNA from 1 species